ensembl:lncRNA
CUCUUACUGAUUUUAUUUUUUUGUUGUUCUAAAUAUUUUUAUAAUUUCGUAUAUCCCUUUUUGAUCAUAAAAAGGAAAAACGCCUUGUAUUUUAAUUUUAUUUUUUGUAUUUUAAAACGAAAAUCAAAUAACCACUCGUUUUUUGUUUUUCAAUACCUGUUUCAGAACGGAAAAUCCAAUUGCCAAAAUAUACACGGACCAGCACCUCAUUUAAACACAAUUCAAAACGUACACUUUUCAGUUCCCGUUAAGAAAACACCAUGAGCAGAUUUAGUGAUCUACUGACACAUUUUAAUACAAUCAAAUUUAUUUCAGCAAUCAGCCUGCUGAUAUUGAGGGUCUUUUCAUGAUUUCAGCUGGAUGCCUUAUUCAUUAUUCAUUAAACAGGGAUUAAAAAAUACAAACAGCAUUAUUCCUUGGAAGAUAAUCGAUGAAAAACACAUUAAAACUAACCGUAAUUCGCUGUGUCACCAAUUUUGUGCAUGGAUUUAGGAGGAGGCAGCGUGCUUGUGGUAACAUUGACACGUUUAAAAAUAAAAAAAAAAACAUGGACUGAAGCUGCAAGAAAGCUUUGAAAAGCAAUGUCUCACAACAUCAGUAAGCACCUGUAACGAUGAUCAGAAUUACAAACCGUAAAAACCGCACAACCAAAAGAGGUUUCAGGUCAUUUCUCUCCCACUGCGCUCCUUCGUGCAUCAGUUUUCUUACAUUUAGUUGUAUAACAGCAGGGCCAAUGUGCUCUAAAAUACCUUAAAGCAAUCUGAAAUGACACGUCUCCUCUUUGGUCAACACUGAACGCCACUCUUAGAACAACACAGCUGACAUGAAAGAUAAUAUUUCCUUGAAACAAUAAAAACCGUCCACUCCAGUAGACACACAAGCUUCAAACUACUGCCAUUAGUAACAUCAGCCCCCUGCAGGUUUAAAUUAGCUCUACUCUUUGUGUACCGUUCCCACUAGAAAAGCAGAUGUGCGUGUGCUGUGACAGACUACUAGUGGAGUGCAUCGUAAAAAGUCAAGAAAGAUGCCAAAAAUAUAAAACAUUCAUCCCAAUCUGCCCCAAAACAAAAAAAAUUGACUUUUUGCGAACGUAAAACUUUUGAAUUUCACAUGAUUGUCGCAAAAAAUACAAACCCAUUCAAGGACUUUUUUUAGUAAAAAAUACAGUUAACACUGAACACUGAAAUUGACACAUUGUACAUAAGUUAUUUUGAAUAUUUGAGAGUUCAUUUGUUGUUUUGUAAAUUUUUGUUUUCAUCAUCAAAAAUCAUCUGGGCUCAGAAAUUCGGCCAAGGAGUCCCAUUCAGCGGAGUUAAAGAUGAAUGGAGGUGUUUGAGACUUCAGGUGGGGGUUUUUGGGGAGGGAAAACGGCUCUUUACGUUGGACUGGAGGCUUGUCGGGUUUAGGUUAAGGUUGGAAGUCGAUACUGGGGGACAGUUCUUCAGGGCUGGACUGGAAUAGGGUUCCUACUGUUCAAGGUCGUGUGUGCAGGCGAUGAACAACCCAUUUGGCCUUUGCAGAAACC